CUUCAGCUGGUCACCCUCUUGAAGGAUCUGGUCGACACCCACAAUGCGCUCAUGGCUGAUCUGGCUUAUAUGCAGCAGACCAGUGAUCUCUCCCAGGUCCACAAACGCACCGUAUGGCUUGAUUAAGCUCACCACACCCUGCACCAAAUCGCCAGGCUGAUACUUGUCAAGUAUGCCCUCAGCUUCCUCACGCUUUUGGAAGGUCUCUGCCGCAUUCUCAAACACACGCUGUGGAUCGCGCAGCAUGUCACCCGGCUUGGGCUCUAGCUUCUUGGUGGACAGGGUGAGGCGGCUUCGGUUGCGGUCCGUUUGCAGCACCAAGACCUGCAAUCAAUGUAAGCGCUUACCCAUGUGAUGAGGCAAGAACAGCACAAGAAUUGGGCGCAUGGGAGAAUGAGCGGCGGUGACAGAACGAGGAGAGGACACUUACGCAAGACAUUGAAAUGGUGGAGGGUGAACACGGAGACAGUCGGGUAAGUUAGCGUAAAGGGGAACGCCCUGGCAAGCAUUGAUUACUUGCUAUCCAAGCUUACUCCCAGCUGGUUAGGGUCCCUUCCUUCAUCUCUUCAAGCAAAGCUCGGAGGCUGUCGACAAGUGACACGUGGCUGGUCCUCUGGUGCAUCUUGCACACUCAAUUGCUCACAAAAAAGCUGCAUCGCUCGCGAACAUACCAUCAGCUGGUCACCCUCUUGAAGGAUCUGGUCGACGCCCCCGUGCUUAAUGCGGUAAUUGCUGAUCUGGCUUCUAUGCAGCAGACCAGUGAUAUCUCCCAGGUCCACAAAUGCACCAUAUGGCAUGAUGGAUCUCACCACACCCUGCACCAGUUCGCCAGGCUGAUACUUGUCAAGGAUGCCCUCAGCUUUUGCCUCUGCGCUCUGGAAGCGAGCUGAUGACUUUGAAUCCA
rnacentral:lncRNA from 1 species